GAGGGUAUAGCUCAGUGGUAGAGUAUGUGCUUAGCAUGCACAAGGUCCUAAGUUCAAUCCUCAGUACCUCCA
rnacentral:tRNA from 1 species